rnacentral:rRNA from 1 species
CUCUGUGACUCCUACGGGAGGCAGCAGUGGGGAAUAGUUGCACAAUGGGGCGCAAGCCUGAUGCAGCCAUGCCGCGUGUAUGAAGAAGGCCUUCGGGUUGUAAAGUACUUUCAGCAGUGAGGAAGGCGGGUACGUUAAUAGCGUGCUCGUUUGACGUUAGCUGCAGAAGAAGCACCGGCUAACUCCGUGCCAGCAGCCGCGGUAAUACGGAGGGUGCGAGCGUUAAUCGGAAUUACGUGGGACGUAAAGCACAUGCAGGUGGUUUGUUAAGUCAGAUGUGAAAGCCCCGGGGCUCAACCUCGGAAUUGCAUUUGAAACUGGCAGACUAGAGUACUGUAGAGGGGGUAGAAUUUCAGGUGUAGCGGUGAAAUGCGUAGAGAUCUGAAGGAAUACCGGUGGCGAAGGCGGCCCCCUGGACAGAUACUGACACUCAGAUGCGAAAGCGUGGGGAGCAAACAGGAUUAGAUACCCUGGUAG